UUCGGUCCUCGGUAGUGGCUGCCGCAAACUGGUCGUUUGCGGUGGCUUCGAUCGAUGACCGUG
rfam:Segniliparus rotundus DSM 44985, complete genome.